UACGUAGGGGGCAAGCGUUGUCCGGAUUUAUUGGGCGUAAAGCGCUCGCAGGUGGCCCGAUGCGUCGUGCGUGAAAGACCCCGGCUCAACUGGGGGGUGUCGUGCGAUACGGUCGGGCUGGAGGCCAGUAGGGGGAUGCGGAAUUCCGGGUGUAGUGGUGAAAUGCGUAGAGAUCCGGAGGAACACCAGUGGCGAAGGCGACACGCUGGGCCAUACCUGACGCUAAAGCGCGACAGCAUGGGGAGCAAACGGG
rnacentral:rRNA from 1 species